GCGGGUAUGACGGAAUGGUAGACGUGCAUGUUUGAGGGACAUGUAAGAUUUUUCUUGUAUGAGUUCGAAUCUCAUUAUCCGCACCA
rnacentral:tRNA from 2 species